GGAGCUGAGCACGGAGAUCACUGCAGAAGUUUGGUCCUUAAGGGGUUAAAGGACCACUAUUGGCACCCAGACCACUUCAGCUUAAUGAAGUGGUCUGGGUGACAGGUCCAUCUAGGAUUAACUCUGCCUGCUGUAGACAUAGCAGUUUCAGAGAAACUUGUAUGUUUACAAAUGGGUUAAUCCAGCCUGUAGUGGCUGUCUCAUUGAC